UACGUAGGCAGCGAGCGUUGUUCGGAGUUCCUGGGCGUAAAGGGUGCGUAGGCGGUUGUUUAAGUUUGGUGUGAAAUCUCCCGGCUCAACUGGGAGGGUGCGCCGAAUACUGAAUGACUAGAGUGCGGGAGAGGAGAGUGGAAUUCCUGGUGUAGCGGUGAAAUGCGUAGAUAUCAGGAGGAACACCGGUGGUGUAGACGGCUCUCUGGACCGUAACUGACGCUGAGGCACGAAAGCGUGGGUAGCAAACAGG
rnacentral:rRNA from 1 species